CUACGGGCUGCACCAGUGAGGAAUAUUGCACAAUGGGGGGAACCCUGAUGCAGCAACGCCGCGUGGAGGGUGACGCAUUUCGGUGUGUAAACUCCUUUUAUAUGUCAAGAAAAUGACGGUAGCAUAUGAAUAAGCACCGGCUAACUCCGUGCCAGCAGCCGCGGUAAUACGGAGUGGUGCAAGCGUUACUCGGAAUCACUGGGCGUAAAGGACGCGUAGGCGGGUUGGAAAGUCAGGUGUGAAAUCCUACAGCUUAACUGUAGAACUGCACUUGAAACUUCUAAUCUAGAGUAUGGGAGGGUGAGAUGGAAUUAGUUGUGUAGGGGUAAAAUCCGUAGAUAUAACUAGGAAUACCUAAAGCGAAGGCGAUCUCCUGGAACAUUACUGACGCUAAGGCGUGAAAGCGUGGGGAGCAAACAGGAUUAGAUACCCCAGUAGUC
rnacentral:rRNA from 1 species